AUGAACUCAGGCACCCCACCUCCAAGCCCCUCUGGCCCACCUCCUCCCCCCGUACCACAGCCCCAGGCCCUGGCCAGGCUCAAUGCUACCGCCUCACUGGAGCAGGACAAGAUUGAACCGCCUCGUGCUCCCAGACCUCAGACUGACCCCAGUGCUGGACCAAGAGCUGGAGAAGCAGCCACUCCAGAGCCUCGGGCCCCUCAAACCAGCAGCUGAGGAGAAGGAGCAGAUAGAGCUGGUCCCAUGAAGGCAGAUGUGGAGAUCCCCUUUGAAGAAGUCCUGGAGAAAGCCAAGGCUGGAGACCCCAAAGCACAGACAGAGGUGGGCAAACACUACCUACGACUUGCCAACAAUGCAGAUGAAGAACUCAAUAGUUGCUCAGCCGUGGCCUGGCUCAUUCUGGCAGCCAAGCAGGGCAGGCAGGAGGCCGUGAAGCUCCUGAGGCGGUGCCUAGCUGACCGGAAAGGCAUUACUUCUGAGAAUGAGGCCGAAGUGAAGCAGCUAUCCUCUGAGACCGACCUGGAAAGGGCAGUGUGCAAGGCUGCCCUGGUCAUGUACUGGAAAUUCAACCCCAAGAAGAAGAAGCAGGUGGCUGUGUCCGAGUUGCUGGAGAAUGUCGGGCAGGUCAAUGAGCAAGAUGGAGGGGCGCAGCCAGGCCCAGUCCCCAGGUCCCUGCAGAAGCAGAGGCGCAUGUUGAAGCGCCUCAUCAGCAGUGAAUCCAAGAACUACAUUGCUCUGGACGAUUUUAUGGAGCUCACCAAGAAGUAUGCGAAGGGCAUCAUCCCCACCAAACUGUUCUUGCAGGAUGAAGAUGAAGAUGAGGACGAGCUGGCAGGGAAGAGCCCUGAGGACCUGCCACUACGCCAGAAGGUAGUGAAGUACCCCUUCCACGCCAUCAUGGAGAUCAAAGAGUACCUGAUUGACGUGGCCUCCAAGGCAGGCAUGCACUGGCUCUCCACCAUUGUGCCCACCCAUCACAUCAACGCCCUCUUCUUCUUCUUCAUCAUCAGCAACCUAACCAUCGACUUCUUCUCCUUCUUCAUCCUCUGGUGGUCUUCUACCUGUCUUUGUGUCUAUGGCCAUCUGUACGCUUAAGGUAUUCCAGGACAGCAAGGCCUGAGAGAACUCUCACCGACCAGCUGCUGCGCUUCGAGCCCAACCUGGACGUGGAGCAGGGAGAAGUGAACUUCGGCUGGAACCACCUCGAGCCCUAUGUCCACUUCCUGCUGUCAGUCAUCUUUGUCAUCUUCUCCUUCCCGCUAGCCAGCAAGGACUGCAUCCCCUGCUCGGAGCUGGCCAUCGUCUCCACCUUCUUCACGGUGACCAGCUACAUGAGCCUGAGCAGCUCCGCCAAGCUGUACACCAGGCGGGCCCUGGUCACUGAGGUGACUGCUGGGUUGCUGUCCCUUCUGCCCACCAUGCCCGUGGACUGGCGCUUUCUGAAAGUGCUCGGCCAGACGUUCUUCACCGUGCCCAUUGGUCACUUCAUGAUCCUGAACGUCAGCCUCCCCUGCCUGCUCUAUGUCUCUUUUACCUCUUCUUCCGCAUGGCCCAGCUGAGGGGCUUCAAGGGCACCUAUUGCUACCUGGUGCCCUACCUGGUGUGCUUCAUGUGGUGUGAACUGUCCGUGGUCAUCCUGCUCCAGUCUACCGGCCUGGGCUUGGUCCGUGCCUCCAUCGGCUACUCCCUCUUCCUCUUUGCCCUCCCCAUCCUGGUGGUUGCCCUUGCCCUUAUGGGCACAGUGCAGUUUGCCCGAUGGUUCCUGUCACUGGACCUCACUAAGAUCAUUGUCACCACAGUGAUCUGCAGCAUACCCCUGCUUUUCCGUUGGACCAAGGCCAACUUUUCAGUAAUGGGGAUGGUCAAGUCCCUGACCAGGAGCUCAAUGGUGAAACUCAUUCUGGUGUGGCUCAGGGCCAUCCUGCUCUUCUGCUGGUUCUACGUGUACUGGUCAGAAGGCCUGAAGGUCUACAAUUCCACACUCACCUGGCAGCAAUAUGGCUUCCUGUGUGGGCCAGGGGCCUGGAAGGAGACUAACAUGGCACAGACCCAGAUCUUGUGCAGCCACUUGGAGGGCCACAGGGUCACAUGGACCGGCCGUUUCAAGUAUGUCUGAGUGACCAAGAUCGACAACAGUGCCAAGUCGGCCAUUAACAUGCUCCCUUUCUUCCUAGGUGACUAGAUGCACUGACUCUAUGGUGAGGCCUACCCAUCCUGUAGCUCUGGCAACAUGUCCACGGCUGAGGAGGAGCUCUGUUGUCUCAAGCAGCUGGCCAAGCACCCCUGCCACAUCAAGAAGUUUGACUGCUACAAGUUUGAGAUCACAGUGGGCAUGCCCUUUGGCACCAACGGCAACCGCGGCCAUGAAGAGGACCACAUCACCAAGGACAUUGUUCUGCGUGCCAGCAGCAAGUUCAAGGACGUGCUGCUGAGCCUGUGCCACAGCAGCCUCAUAGAAUUCAGCACCAUCCUCAAGGGCCACCUGGGGAGCAAGUGGCCCGUCUUUGAGCUCAAGGCCAUCAGCUGCUUCAACUGCAUGGCCCAGCUGUCCCCUGCCCAGAGGCACGUAAAGAUCGAGCAGAAUUGGCGUAGUACCAUGCACGGUGCCCUCAAGUUUGCCUUCAAUUUCUUCUUCUUCCCAUUCCUGUCUGCCGCCUGA